AGGAAGCUAUGGCGAGUAGACUGGAGUUCCAGCUCUUGGUUCCGCACGGUCCAGCCCAAGCCCUUGUUUUGCGCAUUACGUCAGAGGAAGGAUCGAGCGAGACUGAGAAUACAUUCUAAACUGUGCAGGCCACACAAGUGGCUAAAAUCUCAGAAAAAUAGCCUCAAGUUGAAAGGAAGAAGUGAUCAGAAGUUUAAUGACUGAUAUUCACUGUCUCUGAAGACUCUACUGACAAUUCAUUUCUCAAUAAGAUGUUUUCGCAAGAACCAGCUGAGUCCCUUGGAAAGAAAGCCUGCCCGUAACCAAACUGGAAAAGAAGGGAGACAGCCAUUUGGAAACUAUGAUGGUCAGCGUGAUUCCACCUAAGGAAAGAGCCAGAGGAGGGAAACCCCUUACCUGGUCAACGUAGGGAACGUGGAGGAAGCUGCAUCUUUGGAAGAGUUGAUCAGUUCUGGGACACCAACACCCGCAAUCUCCUCUAUGGCCUUCAGGACACUGUCCGUGUGCUCCAGGAGAUGUAGAUUUCUCCAGAAUGACCAUCAGAAGUCUGAUGAGAUAGAGAGCACACUGGAAACUGGGGAUACUGUGACAGAAAUUCUGUAAGUAAUGGAAGCUUUGGCUGUAAAGAGACAAAGAAAUAAAAAGCAACACAAGUAUUACAGAAAUGUCCAAAUCCAUCAACUAAGUUCAG